rnacentral:rRNA from 1 species
GACGAACGUUGGCGGCGUGCCUAAUACAUGCAAGUCAACUGAAAUACCGGUAGCAAUACUGGUAUGGAGGUGGCGUCACGGGUGAGUAACACGUAGGUAAUCUGCCUUCAGGUCUGACAUAACCCAUCGAAAGGUGAGCUAAUAUCAGAUGAUGCAGCGGCUUGACAUCAAGACAGUUGUUAAAGCUUCGGCGCCUGAAGAUGAGCCUGCGCCUGAUUAGCUAGUUGGCGGGGUAACGGCCCACCAAGGCUGCGAUCAGUAGCUGGUCUGAGAGGAUGAUCAGUCACACUGGAACUGAGACACGGUCCAGACUCCUACGGGAGCAGCAGUAAGGAAUAUUGCU